UGGGGGGCUCACUCAUAUUGCCAUGCGCGUACCCAUGUUUUUGGAAGCGCAGGCCCGCCAUCUGUGAUCAUUUGUUCCAAGAUAAAUUGAAUGAAGAGACAAUUUUACAGUUUCCACUUAAGGGCAUAAAAGAGACAAUCUUAUAGUUUUCACUUAAGGGCAUAGAUGAUAUGACAUGACAGGGCAUUUAUAAAACGUGGGGAUUUGCUAAUUUUAGGUUACAAGACGUUUAAUCCAUAAAUCGAUACUAAAGAUUAAACGUAAAUCCCGAGUGUCUGUGAAUGUUAUUAAAAAUGAGCUCUAAUAUUAAACGGUGCUGUGUGCCUCAGUGCGAUGAUACAUCUUCAAGGCGGUGUCUAUUUCCUAACAAUCUAAACUUGAGAAUGGUUUGGUUGAAGCGAAUUGGGUGUGAACGUUUAUUGGCAAAAUCGGCAGUUCGUAGUUCAUAUGUAUUUAUUUGUACUAGCCAUUUUGCCGAUAUAUGUUUCAAGGAAAACCGAAUGCUAUUAAGAAAUUGUCUGC
rnacentral:lncRNA from 1 species